UUCCUGGUGGCCAGGGAGGAGGGGUUAUACCCGAUCCCAUUCCGAACUCGGAAGUCAAGCCCUCCAUCGCCGAUGAUACUGCGGUUCUAGUCGUGGGAAAGUAGGUCGCUGCCAGGAU
rnacentral:rRNA from 1 species